rnacentral:rRNA from 1 species
UACGUAUGGGGCAAGCGUUGUUCGGAUUUAUUGGGCGUAAAGGGCACGCAGGCGGACUAUUAAGUUGGAUGUGUAAUCCCCAGGCUUAACCUGGGACCCGCAUCCAAAACUGAUAGUCUUGAGUACUAGAGGGGAGAGCGGAAUUCUCGGUGUAGCGGUGGAAUGCGUAGAUAUCGAGAGGAACACCAGUGGCGAAGGCGGCUCUCUGGCUAGAAACUGACGCUCAUGUGCGAAAGCGUGGGGAGCAAACAGG